UACUUUUGGUCUAAGGGCGACUUGUACCACGGCGGCCAUGUAUCCGAUCACCGUACCGAAUAAUAAUCAGCCUAUUUCAUCAGAGGUUUCGUCAUCAAGGUGAUGCCUCCCUGCAUCGGCUAUAUAAGCGCAAGUCAAUAGGAAUCGGCCAUAACGACUCGAUACACUAAAUCGUUGGUUAAGCGUCUACCCAUAUGUUGGGAUAGUAUAUUUUCAAAUAUCUCCCAUUUAAGGCCCUUGUAAAUUCCUCUCCUUCGAUGGUCUAAUAUGUAUGCAUUUCCUGGCGUGCACCAACCGAUUUUAUACGGCCCUUCCUAAGUAGGCGACCACUUGCCGUAUUUGGGAUCCUUAGACUCUAUCGACAGUACCAAUUUCCAUACCAAAUCCCCUUGGGAGAACUGCUUGACCUUGACCUUCUUGUCAUACCACCUGGCAACUCUUUUCUUAUUCUCUUCAAUACUGAUCAAGGCCCUCAAUCACUGACCUGCCAAAUCGUCGAGCUCCCCUUUCAUGAGGAGAGAAUAAUCGUCGGCCGUCAACUGAUCUUGAAGUGACGUGCAUCUAGACACC
rnacentral:lncRNA from 1 species